UAGGCAGUUAUUCAAACCCACUGACAAAACUGCUGUUUUUACUGUUUUGGUAGGGGGAAGUUUUUUCAAAAUCUCCCCUAUGUGAUGGAAUUGUGCUCCAGGGAAGCUGUCCAUCUGGAUUUCUUCACUGGCAAAUUGUGGCACUCGAGCUAGAUUUGAAUCUCCUAUUAUUAUAAUAGCUUUUCUAGGUGUGAGGUGCCAAUUCCUAAUUUUAUGCUCCGUUCUCUGGUGGACCGUGGGUUCACAGUCGGAGGUCACCGCGGCCCCAGAGUGCAGACGAGGAGGCCGCAGCUGCUCCGGCUGCUUAGACCGUGGUUCUGGAGCUGGAGGGGGAGAGGAGGAGACAGUGAUUUGAGAAGGGGAUUGUGGCUGGGACAGCGUUAGGGGGUCCUCAAAGGUCUGCAGGGGGGCCCCCCUGUGUUUCAUGCCACAGCCCUCCAGAAGAGUGGAUGACGCUGUCGAUACAGGAGGUAUCUGCAAAGGAGAAGCGAUAUUCAUUCUUGCAGUGUGUGGAUGAGCCGGUGUGGGUUCCACCGGUUCCUGUGGUUUGGCAAGCGGGGAACUCAGAGGCCGGCUGUCCCUGUCUGGAUCUAGAGUUGGUGAUUUAAUGUUGUCAGGUGUGUCUUGAGAGGCUGGGGAAGGGAUGGCUGGUGCAUUGGGGAUAGUUUGGCCUGUGCCGCCUGAUCUGGAGUGGGGAGAGGUGGAAAAUCCUGUAGAGAGGGUUCCACACUCUCCGGGCCCACCUGUGGUUGCCCUUGGAGCACCAUGGUUCUCAGGGUGUCUAUGGAGCUGUCGAGUUGCCGGAUUAGGAACUGCUGGUUUAAUGAAGUCUAGAUCCUGAGGGUCAUUUGGAGGAGCCGAGGCAGUUUCCCUAGGGGCUGGCUUGAGUAGAUUUUGUUCCGCAGUCCCACACUUACCCGGGCUAUUUGGUUGAGCCAGCACUUCAAAUCUGUUACUCAGGGGUUAGUAGACAACACUCACCCAUUUGCUGAUCCAGGCCUGAGACCAGAUCCAUUAGGCCUCAAGCCUCAGUCCUCUGGUUAGACCCUGUUUGUUGAGAAAACCUGUCUGAAGUUAGUCUCUCUCAGAGGAUUAAAGGAAAGAAGGUCCCAACGUUUCGCCUGGAAGGCUUCUUCAGGGGAGCAAGAAGAGAGUGAAGGAUCCAGGCCUCUAUAUUCAUAUAGAUCAAGUCCAUGAGGGUGGAUCCUAGAAAUAAAAGGUUCCAUAUUGGCUCAUGGAGAAAAAGCAGAUUGAUAAAUGGUCCGGAGCUGGUUCAGUGAGAGGAGAGUACAAGUUUUGAAAGGAUAUGAAGGUAAGUAAAGGGAGGGGACAAGGAGGGGUGAGGAAAACACAGCCUAUUAGGACAGGGAGUAUUAUUUGUGAAAAUGUUGAAUUUUUAUAUAUCCCUGAUAUUUUUUUUUCAAUCACAUCAAUAGGUUGUGUUAGGGAUCCUCAACUCUGGAGAUCCUGUUGGACCUGGAUUGGGGGCUCUUCCUCCUGAAAACCGGGAGGGGGGGGGUUUAUAGCUUUACUAGUUAGAGUUGGGUCCUCCAACAUAGUAAUAGGAUUAGGUCGAAGUCAGGUUAGGGUUGGGGCAGGGUCGAGGUCAGGUUAGGGUUGGGGCAGGGUCGAAGUCAGGUUAGGGUCGGCAGGGUCGAGGUCAGGUUAGGGUUAGGGCCUCAGUACAAGUUGAAUGGUUAGGUUUUAGGGAUCAGGUCAUGUAUAGGGUCAGAGUAGGAGUCAGGCGGUUAGGUUGAAGGUCAGGGUCUGUGUAAAAGUAUUAAAAUCAAAAUAGGUUCCAGGGUCUGUUCCAAGUGCAGGUUUUUAAAAA